rnacentral:tRNA from 1 species
CGGGGCGUGGUGUAACGGUUAACAUGCACGCUCGGGGAGCGUGUGAUAGCUGGUUCGACUCCAGUCGCCCCGA